ACCCGCACAAGCGGUGGAUGAUGUGGUUAAUUCGAUGCAACGCGAAAACCUUACCCACCUUUAGACAUGUACGGAAUCCUUUAGAGAUAGAGGAGUGCUCGAAAGAGAGCCGUAACACAGGUGCUGCAUGGCUGUCGUCAGCUCGUGUCGUGAGAUGUUGGGUUAAGUCCCGCAACGAGCGCAACCCUUGUCAUUAGUUGCUACAUUCAGUUGGGCACUCUAAUGAGACUGCCGGUGACAAGCCGGAGGAAGGUGGGGAUGACGUCAAGUCCUCAUGGCCUUAUAGGUGGGGCUACACACGUCAUACAAUGGCUGGUACAAAGGGUUGCCAACCCGCGAGGGGGAGCCAAUCCCAUAAAGCCAGUCGUAGUCCGGAUCGUAGUCUGCAACUCGACUACGUGAAGUCGGAAUCGCUAGUAAUGGCGGAUCAGCAUGCCGCCGUGAAUACGUUCCCGGGUCUU
rnacentral:rRNA from 1 species